CACCCGGUGGCACAAGGUGUGCGUCUGCUCGAUUUGCAAAAUAUCUUCUCGAGCAAAUUUCUGCAGAAUGCCUCGGUUCGAUUCCGGGUCGGGUGA